UCUGUGACCUGUGUGUGCUGGCAAGUGACAAAUCAGAAACAAAUGACUGACCCCCUGGGCUGUCCUAAGCCAAGUUUAAGUCACCAUUGGUACAUGUGAGACACAGGAAGUGAUGUAAAGAAUGGCCUUUAUAUUUCUCGUGACUUCCGGUGAGGGGGGAUUUUGCAGCUUUUGUGGACUUUGGCGGUGAAAUUUGACUUGAAGGAGCUUUGAAGUGUGGGUUCUGAGAUGGCUUCCCUGAGUGGCCAUGUGGCCUGGAACUCUAUCUACUGUGCCACCUAGUUAUGGGAAUAGAGGCAUAUUUUUGUGGCCAACUGAGAGUGCCGAAGAUUGGAGAGCUGAGAGUUAUUGAAAGGUCCCUUAAAAUAAUUCCUACUGCCAGAGUCAUCAUCAUCAUUAUUGACUGUGCUUUAAGAAAAAAGAAGAGAAGAAAAAUAAAGCAUUUCAACAAAAAUUAUCAAUGCAUUGAUUCUGACAGUAUUUGCAAUAUUUCAAGCCCAAUUCUUUUCCAAUAAAG